UUUAAAGUCUGACCUGCCCAAUGAAGAUUUAAAUGGCCGCGGUAUUUUGACCGUGCAAAGGUAGCAUAAUCAUUAGUUUUUUAAUUGAAAGCUGGUAUGAACGGUUGGACGAGAAAAUGACUGUCUCAAGGUUAAUUUAGUUAGAAUUUUAUUUUUAAGUAAGAAAGCUUAAAUUAUUUUAAAAGACGAGAAGACCCUAUAGAGUUUUAUACUUGUCUAUAUUGAAAAUACUUGGUAUCUGUAUUAUUUUAUAUUUUCAAGUAUUUUGUUGGGGUGACAGAAAAAUUAGCUUAACUUUUUUUUAUUAAUAACAUAGAUUAAUGAAUAUUUGAUCCAUAUAAGUAUGACUAUAAGAUUAAAUUACCUUAGGGAUAACAGCGUAAUUUUUUUUGAGAGUUCUUAUCGAAAAAAGAGUUUGCGACCUCGAUGUUGGAUUAAAAUUAACUUUUGGUGGAGAGGCUAGAAGGUUAGGUCUGUUCGACCUUUAAAAUUUUACAUGAUCUGAGUUUAAACCGGUGUAAGCCAGGUUGGUUUCUAUCUUUAAAUUAUUAAUAUACUUUAGUACGAAAGGACCAAGUAUAUGUAAUAUUUAUUUUGUAUUGAAUAUUAUUAAUA
rnacentral:rRNA from 1 species